AUUGGGCGUAAAGCGAGCGCAGGCGGUUAGAUAAGUCUGAAGUUAAAGGCUGUGGCUUAACCAUAGUACGCUUUGGAAACUGUUUAACUUGAGUGCAAGAGGGGAGAGUGGAAUUCCAUGUGUAGCGGUGAAAUGCGUAGAUAUAUGGAGGAACACCGGUGGCGAAAGCGGCUCUCUGGCUUGUAACUGACGCUGAGGCUCGAAAGCGUGGGGAGCAAACAGGAUUAGAUACCCUGGUAGUCCMCGCCGUAAACGAUGAGUGCUAGGUGUUAGACCCUUUCCGGGGUUUAGUGCCGUAGCUAACGCAUUAAGCACUCCGCCUGGGGAGUACGACCGCAAGGUUGAAACUCAAAGGAAUUGACGGGGGCCCGCACAAGCGGUGGAGCAUGUGGUUUAAUUCKAAGCAACGCGAAGAACCUUACCAGGUCUUGACAUCCCUCUGACCGCUCUAGAGAUAGAGCUUUCCUUCGGGACAGAGGUGACAGGUGGUGCAUGGUUGUCGUCAGCUCGUGUCGUGAG
rnacentral:rRNA from 1 species